CAUUCAGUCUUGGAAGGGUCUUGGAGUCUGCCGUCCUGUCCUCCUGAAGGCUGCUUCCUCUGCGUCCUCUGCGGAGAAGCUACACAGCUGCUGUCUAAUUAGCCGGAGCUCAGCACCCCUCUGCCUCAUCCCCCUGAUCUUGGAUUCAGUUCCUCGUGCUUCCAGCCCUGCCUGCCUCCUUCUUAACCUGUCCGUUGGCCUAGUCACUGCCCAGGACUUACUGUGUAACCUCCACAAAUACUACAUAUAAAAAUCCACACUUCGCCU